rnacentral:rRNA from 1 species
AACGAACGCUGGCGGCGUGCCUAACACAUGCAAGUCGAGCGAGAAAGCCCGCAAGGGUGAGUAAAGCGGCGCACGGGUGCGUAACACGUGGGUAAUCUGCCCUGAAGUCCGGAAUAACUCGCCGAAAGGCGUGCUAAUGCCGGAUAAGACCACGGGAACCUCGGUUCCUGCGGGAAAAGGUGGCCUCUGUACACAAGCUAUCACUUCAGGAUGAGCCCGCGGCCCAUCAGCUAGUUGGCGGGGUAAUGGCCCACCAAGGCUACGACGGGUAGCUGGUCUAAGAGGACGAUCAGCCACACUGGAACUGAGACACGGUCCAGACUCCUACGGGAGGCAGCAGUGGGGAAUCUUGCGCAAUGGGCGAAAGCCUGACGCAGCAACGCCGCGUGUGUGAUGAAGGUCUUCGGAUCGUAAAGCACUGUCGGGAGGGACGAAUAGGGCGCCGGCUAACAUCCGGCGCUGAUGACGGUACUUCCAAAGGAAGCACCGGCUAACUCUGUGCCAGCCGCCGCAGUAAUAC